UACGUAGGGGGCUAGCGUUGUCCGGAAUCAUUGGGCGUAAAGCGCGCGUAGGCGGCCCGGUAAGUCCGCUGUAAAAGUCAAAGGCUCAACCUUUGAAUGUCAGUGGAUACUGCCGGGCUAGAGUCCGGAAGAGGCGAGUGGAACUCCUGGUGUAGCGGUGGAAUGCGCAGAUAUCAGGAAGAACACCGACGGCGAAGGCAGUUCGCUGGGACGGUACUGACGCUGAGGCGC
rnacentral:rRNA from 1 species